UUCCUAAAGGAGCAAGUUACUUGGAAACUCUCCAUCUAAGAAAUUUGCUCCAGAAGGUCUUGGGUGGAAGUUACAUGUCACCUCACCAUCAAGUCUCGGAUCCCAGGGGAGCACUGAUCAGCAGUUGCUGAGGACAUCAUCUCAAAACCAGUUCCCGUAGAUUUGGAAGUACCCAACUUGGAACAACACACGUUGGAAGAAGGGAAGAGCUUUACAGCAAGUGGACCAGUGCCUAACUUUGCAUGGGACUGAGCUCCUUAAAGGUCUGAUGGCAAGAGUGCCAGCCAUUCCCCACAACCACUGACUUCAACUCCAUCACGCUUGGACACUGUAUCCAUGAUCCUCUUUUACUCUCCCUGACAAUGGCAGACAACAGAAAGCAGCAGAGAUGUGAAGGAAUCUGGCUGUCUUCUCAUCUGAGGGCAGCUUUGGUCAUCAGGCCAAAUCCAACAAAAUGGCUGGCAUGGAGUGCUGAUAAAUCCCUUUGUGAGCAGAAAGACUGAGGGGGUAGCAUCUAGACAGGAGAACAAUGAGCAGCUCUGCGCCGUCCCUCUGCCACCCCCGGCAAGGCACCCCCUCCAAGAGCCACUCAACCCAUUUUAAAUGUAUUGCCUGUCAAAUUCCUUCAACAGCAAGGAAGCACUGUGAAAGGCACUCACCGCGUCUCCCACAACUCCCUUGAACUCCUGGGAUUUGACUUCCUAACUGUGUCUGUAUGCUGGGUUAGUCUUGCUGCUAUGGCAAGGAGGAAAUGCAAAGUAGCCAUGGCUACAGAGACACUGGAGAGAAACAGCAGGCAGCAAAUCGUGCUUGGCUGUGCAGUCCAUGUGUGCUUGGCCUCCACUUUGCACUGGACUCUGUCACAGCCUCAAAAGGCAAUGGUGUCCCUACAUAACUCUGGCCUGUUGUGCCACACUGUCUCUUGGGACAGACAGUGGUCGGUGAGGAUGGGGGAUGCUGUCUGUGUGGUAGCAAGUGACAGUCUGAGUGAAGCUGAGGGACAUUUCCAUUACCACACACAGAUACAGGUGAUAUUCCAGGACCUCUCUGCACUGCAACUGUGGGACAGUUAGGGAAUGCAAAACCUUUAGCUUAAGGAAGAGUUUAAAACUGCUCUGUAACAUUUUUCUUGGCUAUUUAGGACUUUGUGUGAUCUCAUUGUAGUUGGGUCUGGCACGCUGCAGCCUUAGGUCUGCGUAUCUUCCUUCAGCAAUAACCAGAGGGGAGGUGACAGUACCUGCCAUGUCAUUCUUAGGGCUACCUGCAAUUUUCAUCUUUGUUUAGUAGCCUGGGGUUGAUCAAAAAGGAAGCCUGAAGGAAGCUUACAGACCCAAGCCACCAAAUGUGAGGACCUUUCAGUGCAGGCUGGCUUGCAUGUAAGUGUUAGUUUGCCCAGGUGCUGGUGAACAGACCAUAACCUUCUUCCUUAGUGUGAGCCCAGUGGAUCUGUGCUUGCUCUGGGCAGGCUCUAGCAGGAGCAGUGUUCCCCUCUAGAUGUGUUGGCACAAGGUUUGAAUGUCCCUUUCUCCCUUCCCUUUGCAGACCCAUUUUCAUGAUGGCUCAUGUGCCACAAACAGGAUAGCUGUGAGACAGGAGUUGGGACAGAGGUCUGGAAAGGCUGUUAAAGGCACCUUGUGUAGCUGUUUCCUUUCCAUAAGUACAUCCAUCUUCAGAAUAGCUGGGAUGAGCUUGCCAGCUAUCACCUUCCUCUGCUUUCUCCUGUCCAGAGCAUGAGGAAAAAUUGAAGUACCCCAAAGUGCAUGGGCUGGCUUUGGUUCAUCAAGUCGUAUAAAAAAUUCCCUGAAGCUCAGUGUCAGGGGUGCCGGAAAACUGCACCCUGGGUAGAGAUAAUUUCCAUACAGAAAAAAGCCAUCCAGCCACAGAGCAGUAAAGAACUGUCUGAGCUCCUCACCACUUUUGAUGAUCCUAAAGAGGCUUGGCCAGGUUCACUGGGAAACACAUCGGGGCAUGUUUGGCAGGCCAAGGCACAGAGGGAUACUAACCUGGGCAGCCAAGGCUUUUUGCUUCUUCAUAGUGGCUGUUCAGGAAGUCCUAGCACCUCUGACUAGGUGCUAAUGGGACACUGAAGGUGUUUGUAGCAAUGUCAAUGCUGGCUUGCCAAGCAUCUUGAAGCAUGAGUCACCUCUUCCUGAAUCAUGAGACUGGCCUACAAGUUAUUAAUAUUUAUUUUCUGCCUGAAAAUAGGAAUGACCUGCAUUUAGUUCCAAACCUUUGGAUCUGUAGGAUUAAUUCCAAUGAUGCUUACAGAAUUUUCUCUGCAUUCAUGAAAACUUUGUUUUGUUGUCUUUGUGUUGCUUUCCCUGCCUUAAAAUAAAAACAAAACUGAGAAGUUUUUUCUUCUCAUCACACAGAUCCAAAUCCUGAAGGACUCAUCAGCUGUUAGGAGAUUCACUGUAAAACCACAAGGAUUUGCAGUGGUUAUUGAGCAGCCAUAUGCUCAGCUCAGUGCAGUGCCCUUUUGCGCUUCUGACCAAGCUGCCUAUCUGCCCACUUUAAAGCUCUCCCUGCUGGCAAGAGUUUACAUUAGCUCAGCUACAGAGAGGACAUCAGAUUUAUUCCCUAGCUGCCCUUUUCAGUAUUCACAAAUAAAAUUUGUCCAGCAUGAUAGAUGCAGUUGCUAGUGGUGUCUAAAAAACUCACAACUGAGGCUGCAAUAAGCCAAGA